rnacentral:rRNA from 1 species
AGAGUUUGAUUAUGGCUCAGAACGAACGCUGGCGGCGUGCCUAACACAUGCAAGUCGAACGGAAUCAGGGGGCUUGCUCCUUGAUUUAGUGGCGCACGGGUGAGUAAUGCGUAGAUAAUCUACCUGAGGAUCCGGGAUAACAUUUCGAAAGGGGUGCUAAUACGGGAUAAGCCCACGGAGUCUUCGGACUUUGCGGGAAAAGGGGGGGACUUUCGGGCCUUCCGUCAUCAGAUGAGUCUACGUACCAUUAGCUAGUUGGUGGGGUAAGAGCCUACCAAGGCGACGAUGGUUAGCUGGUCUGAGAGGAUGAUCAGCCACACUGGAACUGAGACACGGUCCAGACUCCUACGGGAGGCAGCAGUGGGGAAUUUUGCGCAAUGGGGGAAACCCUGACGCAGCAACGCCGCGUGAGUGAUGAAGGCCUUCGGGUCGUAAAGCUCUGUCAGUGGGAAAGAAGUGUAUUAUGGCUAAUAUCCAUGAUACUUGACGGUACCCACAAAGGAAGCACCGGCUAACUCCGUGCCAGCAGCCGCGGUAAUACGGAGGGUGCGAGCGUUGUUCGGAAUUAUUGGGCGUAAAGCGCGUGUAGGCGGCUUCUUAAGUCUGAUGUGAAAGCCCCGGGCUCAACCUGGGAAGUGCAUUGGAAACUGGGGAACUUGAAUACGGGAGAGGGUAGUGG